AAAUUGAAGAGUUUGAUCAUGGCUCAGAUUGAACGCUGGCGGCAGGCCUAACACAUGCAAGUCGAACGGUAACAGGAAGCAGCUUGCUGCUUCGCUGACGAGUGGCGGACGGGUGAGUAAUGUCUGGGAAACUGCCUGAUGGAGGGGGAUAACUAUUGGAAACGGUGGCUAAUACCGCAUAACGUCGCAAGACCAAAGAGGGGGACCUUCGGGCCUCUUGCCAUCAGAUGUGCCCAGAUGGGAUUAGCU
rnacentral:rRNA from 3 species